UACGUAGGGGGCUAGCGUUGUCCGGAAUCAUUGGGCGUAAAGCGCGUGUAGGCGGCCCGGUAAGUCCGCUGUGAAAGUCGGGGGCUCAACCCUCGGAAGCCGGUGGAUACUGUCGGGCUCGAGUACGGAAGAGGCGAGUGGAAUUCCUGGUGUAGCGGUGAAAUGCGCAGAUAGUCAGGAGGAACACCAAUUGCGAAGGCAGCUCGCUGGGACGUUACUGACGCUGAGACGCGAAAGCGUGGGGAGCAAACAGG
rnacentral:rRNA from 1 species